rnacentral:rRNA from 1 species
CUACGGGAGGAGGCAGCAGUGAGGAAUAUUGGUCAAUGGCCGGGAGGCUGAACCAGCCAAGUCGCGUGGAGGAAGACGGUCCUAUGGAUUGUAAACUUCUUUUGCAAGGGAAUAAAGUAGAGUACGCGUACUUUUUUGCAUGUACCUUGCGAAUAAGCAUCGGCUAACUCCGUGCCAGCAGCCGCGGUAAU